GACGAACGCUGGCGGCGUGCUUAACACAUGCAAGUCGAACGGAAAGGCCCUGCUUUUGUGGGGUGCUCGAGUGGCGAACGGGUGAGUAACACGUGAGUAACCUGCCCUUGACUUUGGGAUAACUUCAGGAAACUGGGGCUAAUACCGGAUAGGAGCUCCUGCUGCAUGGUGGGGGUUGGAAAGUUUCGGCGGUUGGGGAUGGACUCGCGGCUUAUCAGCUUGUUGGUGGGGUAGUGGCUUACCAAGGCUUUGACGGGUAGCCGGCCUGAGAGGGUGACCGGCCACAUUGGGACUGAGAUACGGCCCAGACUCCUACGGGAGGCAGCAGUGGGGAAUAUUGCACAAUGGGCGGAAGCCUGAUGCAGCAACGCCGCGUGCGGGAUGACGGCCUUCGGGUUGUAAACCGCUUUCGCCUGUGACGAAGCGUGAGUGAAGGUAAUGGGUAAAGAAGCACCGGCUAACUACGUG
rnacentral:rRNA from 1 species